CACAAAGGCUUGGUCCUAACCUUCAAAUCAGUUGUUACCUAACUUACACAUGCAAGUCUCCGCCCCCCCGUGAAAACGCCCCCAAAUCCCCCUCGGAUAAAGGGAGCUGGUAUCAGGCGCACCUGCCCAAGACACCUAGCUAUGCCACACCCACAAGGGCCUUCAGCAGUGAUUAACAUUGAACAUUAGCGUCAGCUAGAUUCAGUCAAAGUAAAGAGGGCCGGCAAAACUGGUGCCAGCCGCCGCGGUUACACCAACGACCCAAAUUGAUUUUUACCGGCGUAAAGAGUGGUUAAAACACCCCUAAAACUAGAGCUAAACAUAGGUUUCCUAGUGAAAAAUUUACCUAUUGGAAAACCCCAAACGAAAGUUGCUCUACUUAAUCCAUUUGAACCCACGAAAGCCAGGACAUAAACUGGGAUCAGAUACCCCACUAUACCUUGCUGUAAACUUUAACUUACAAUUCAAUCGCCAGGGAACUACGAGCUAAGCUUAAAACCCAAAGGACUUGACGGUGCCCCAUAUCCCCCUAGAGGAGCCUGUCCUAUAAUCGAUGAUCCCCGUUCAACCUCACCGCCCCUAGCUAUUCAGCCUGUAUACUUCCGUCGCAAGCUUACCACAUGAGCGCAGUUCAGUUAGUCCCAUGACCCUAUAACAGUUCGUCAAGACGUCAGGUCAAAGUGCAGCACAUGAGGCGGGAAGAGAUUGGCUACACUUUUUAAUAUAAAAAACACGAAAGACAAUAAUGAAACUUUGUCAGAAGGUGGAUUUAGAAGUAAAAUGAAUUCAUUACAUUCACUUAAACAAGGCACUGGGGUGUGUACACACCGCCCGUCACCCUCUUCGACACAAUUUCUCCUAGUCCUUAACAAACUAUAAUCCUUCAAGAAGAGGCAAGUCGUAACAUGGUAAGUAUACCGGAAGGUGUACUUGGAAA
rnacentral:ncRNA from 1 species